GAUGAACGCUGGCGGCGUGCCUAAUACAUGCAAGUCGAGCGAACAGAUGAGGAGCUUGCUCCUCUGACGUUAGCGGCGGACGGGUGAGUAACACGUGGAUAACCUACCUAUAAGACUGGGAUAACUUCGGGAAACCGGAGCCAAUACCGGAUAAUAUAUUGAACCGCAUGGUUCAAUAGUGAAAGACGGUUUUGCUGUCACUUAUAGAUGGAUCCGCGCCGCAUUAGCUAGUUGGUAAGGUAACGGCUUACCAAGGCAACGAUGCGUAGCCGACCUGAGAGGGUGAUCGGCCACACUGGAACUGAGACACGGUCCAGACUCCUACGGGAGGCAGCAGUAGGGAAUAUUCCGCAAUGGGCGAAAGCCUGACGGAGCAACGCCGCGUGAGUGAUGAAGGUCUUCGGAUCGUAAAACUCUGUUAUUAGGGAAGAACAAAUGUGUAAGUAACUAUGCACGUCUUGACGGUACCUAAUCAGAAAGCCACGGCUAACUACGUG
rnacentral:rRNA from 1 species